AUGUCGGUCACAGAUGUCACUACAGAUCAGC
rnacentral:piRNA from 1 species